AGGAGGGAGAGAAUCUGGGGCACUGCUCAUGAGGUCGUGCCCCCUGAAGGAUUUGGGGAAGGCUAUGACAUCUCUGAUGCUUGGUGCUCCAGUGACAAGGCAUAUCAGUCUGUCUAACCCUGGAAAUAAAAUACAAAGGGGACAAUGGAGAUCAACCAAUCUACUCCAAAAAGCUGUUGUGAACAUCAAGUGAGACUCGGCAUGUGAGGUGCCAUAUCCAUGGCGGCUAUUCUGUGAAUAUUUUCCUGACUGCUCCUGCAGGGUGUGGUGAGGCUCUGAGCAGUGCCUGGCCCACAGCUGAUGGCCCGUAAAAGUUGGCUAUGAUUAGAGGGGCAGUACGGCCCUACAAGAAAUACCAAUGGACCUUUACCUGAGUGACUUUCCUAAUCAGAGCCAGAUCUAAUCUGUGUGAACAAUGCCAAUCCUCACAAUUAUCACUGUGUGAGCAGUGCUGAUGGAGGCUGGGAACUGAUGAAGAAAACUCUAGUUCUGAUACAGUGCAUUGUUUGUAAGUGCUGAAAGGUAUUUAUUAAUAGCAAACUCAUGUAGAGCAGCCCCAACAUUUUAUGAAAUUAAGUCAGUUUUAAA